rnacentral:rRNA from 1 species
AACGCUGGCGGAAUGCUUACACAUUCAAGUCGAACGGCAGCACGGGGGCAACCCUGGUGGCGAGUGGCGAACGGGUGAGUAACACAUCGGAACGUGCCCAGUCGUGGGGGAUAACGUAGCGAAAGCUACGCUAAUACCGCAUACGAUCUACGGAUGAAAGCGGGGGAUCGCAAGACCUCGCGCGAUUGGAGCGGCCGAUGGCAGAUUAGGUAGUUGGUGAGGUAAAGGCUCACCAAGCCGACGAUCUGUAGCUGGUCUGAGAGGACGACCAGCCACACUGGGACUGAGACACGGCCCAGACUCCUACGGGAGGCAGCAGUGGGGAAUUUUGGACAAUGGGCGCAAGCCUGAUCCAGCCAUUCCGCGUGCAGGAUGAAGGCCCUCGGGUUGUAAACUGCUUUUGUACGGAACGAAACGGCUCUCUCUAAUACAGGGGGCUAAUGACGGUACCGUAAGAAUAAGCACCGGCUAACUACGUGCCAGCAGCCGCGGUAAUACGUAGGGUGCAAGCGUUAAUCGGAAUUA